UGCCAGCAGCCGCGGUAAUACGAGGGGUCCAAGCGUUGCUCGGAAUUAUUGGGCGUAAAGCGGGUGUAGGCGGAUUUGUAAGUCAGAAGUGAAAGCCCUGGGCUCAACCCAGGAAGUGCUUUUGAUACUGCAGAUCUUGAGUAUGGGAGAGGAAAGUAGAAUUCCUGGUGUAGUGGUGAAAUACGUAGAUAUCAGGAGGAAUACCGGAGGCGAAGGCGGCUUUCUGGCCCAAUACUGACGCUCAGACCCGAAAGCGUGGGGAGCAAACAGGAUUAGAUA
rnacentral:rRNA from 1 species